AGCUAGCUAGCUACCUUCUUGGUUAGUUCUUUCUUACCAAUACCCUCCACGUUUUACAUCGCACGUCCUGUCGCGUCAUUUUCUGCAAGGGAAAAUAAUGCAUUUACAUGUCCCUAUUUUUUUUCAACUCUACAAUGAGAAAUUAGAUGUUUGAUAAUUGAUAAGUCGUCUUAUACGGUAUAGCCGGUAGAUAACUAGGUUUUAAGUAUCUGAUUAAGAAUUUCGUAUGCAAUCUACACGUGUAUACAAGAGUGUUAUAGAAUGUCAAUUUUUUAAAUAGAUCUUAUUAUUCUAAGUGCUCACGUGAUAAUUAUUACAUGAUUAUGAAUCAUCACAGUUUAAUUAAUUUUUACAUGACAUGUAAUUAAAUUUUAUAAAUUCUUUUGUAGAUUAUAAAAGUUAUGAUUACCAUACAAAAGAGAAUAUUGGAUUUGUAGAUAUGUAAUGACCUCAAAUCAUGUAAUAAUAUAUUUUCGUUAAUUGUUGUUGUUUCUCUCUAUUUCUCUUUCUAACAUAAAUACAUAAUAUUUGUUUGAUUGUAAGUCGGAUCAGAUCAAAAUCAAAUCUUUUUCAAAUUUUAACCACCUUCAUCUUUGAGUGUUGGACAUCAAACCAAACAUCCUAAUAUUAGACCACUUAUCAUUUUUUUUUUCUUCCCUUUCUCUUUCUCUUACUAGAUUUCAACUAGGUUAUUUUAGAGUUCCCAGCUCCCACCAAUCAAUUGUAAGUGUUUGGCGAAACUCUUACUUUUUAAUUUCGGAAAAGGGUAUCUGGGGAGCGGGGGCUAGGGACAACAAUUUUUUUAAAAUUUCAAAAACUAAAUUUCGGAAAGGGAUAAUUAUGUGGGUGAAAUAACAAAUUGGGAAAGGGAGGUAUAUCUAACAAAUAGCAAUUACCUAUCAUAUAUCCCGGGCCAUGGCCGCUGGAAAUUGAGCCUUACCACUAUAUUGACCUAGUGCAAAUAGACAACAAUGCCCUAUUGUGUUGCCCAAUAGUAUAAAGGAGAAACAGUAGAAAUCAAAGCCUGGUAUAAAGGAGAUUUUCUUCCUGCACCUAGGAUACUUCUUUAUACACCCAGCGGUGAGAGGAAAAAAUUAAAAAUAUCCUUUCAUAUAGCUUAUACAAAUUGUCAAUCCUUAUAAGAUAUGGAUUAUCAAUCCGUAUAAGCUAUAUGAAUUUUCAAUCCGUAUAGGCUUUCACCUUGUCUCACUCCUUUCCUUUCCGUCUUCAUUUAGCUAUAAUGAUAGGGGGAAGCCUUAAUGGCCUUCGCGCCUUCCGUUUCGUACACUACAAGUGGGUCCUAGUGAGAGAUGUAGCGGCGAUUAUGCAUUUUUCCCUUGUAAAGACAAAUGUUGUGGCUGUCUUUCGCCUUCUCGACAUCCGGGAAUGCUCUGAUCUGUUUGAGAACUUUGAUUGCUUCUUUUGUCUUCUCGACGCCUUCAGCGGAGUCACUAACAACAAGGGGGAGCUCUAGGACAAACUCAAUGCGCUGAUCGUAGGCGAGGACGAGGGAAGGAAUGACGGAGGCAACGGUGAAGGAAACAACUACGUAGCACUUCUAGUUCACGUCAAUCUUCCUGUACUAGUGGCAUCAGAUCUUGGUUGAGGUGAACAUGCGGGCACCACGAUACGUGUUUUCAAAGGCUCCUUGGCCAGCAUGGUGGGUUUCGCCAUCGGGAACCCAAGGAAUACGGGAGAGGGGAAGGAGAGGAGUGAGAGAUUGAACACAUGAAAGUGGAAGUUGGAAUGGGAAUGACAUGGAAAAAUUUAUAUAGAUUCUCAAUCCGUAUAACUCACACGAAUUGUCAAUUCGUA
rnacentral:lncRNA from 1 species